GACGUAGGGCGCGAGCGUUGUCCGGAUUUAUUGGGCGUAAAGAGCUCGUAGGCGGUGUGUCGCGUCGGCCGUGAAAACCUGCAGCUUAACUGUGGGCUUGCGGUCGAUACGGGCAUCACUGGAGUUCGGCAGGGGAGACUGGAAUUCCUGGUGUAGCGGUGAAAUGCGCAGAUAUCAGGAGGAACACCGGUGGCGAAGGCGGCUCACUGGCUCGUAACUGACGCUCAUGCACGACAGCGUGGGGAUCAAACAGG
rnacentral:rRNA from 1 species